rnacentral:rRNA from 1 species
GCUUGCUGCUUCGCUGACGAGUGGCGGACGGGUGAGUAAUGUCUGGGAAACUGCCUGAUGGAGGGGGAUAACUACUGGAAACGGUAGCUAAUACCGCAUAACGUCGCAAGACCAAAGAGGGGGACCUUCGGGCCUCUUGCCAUCGGAUGUGCCCAGAUGGGAUUAGCUUGUUGGUGGGGUAACGGCUCACCUAGGCGACGAUCCCUAGCUGGUCUGAGAGGAUGACCAGCCACACUGGAACUGAGACACGGUCCAGACUCCUACGGGAGGCAGCAGUGGGGAAUAUUGCACAAUGGGCGCAAGCCUGAUGCAGCCAUGCCGCGUGUAUGAAGAAGGCCUUCGGGUUGUAAAGUACUUUCAGCGGGGAGGAAGGGAGUGAAGUUAAUACCUUUGCUCAUUGACGUUACCCGCAGAAGAAGCACCGGCUAACUCCGUGCCAGCAGCCGCGGUAAUACGGAGGGUGCAAGCGUUAAUCGGAAUUACUGGGCGUAAAGCGCACGCAGGCGGUUUGUUAAGUCAGAUGUGAAAUCCCCGGGCUCAACCUGGGAACUGCAUCUGAUACUGGCAAGCUUGAGUCUCGUAGAGGGGGGUAGAAUUCCAGGUGUAGCGGUGAAAUGCGUAGAGAUCUGGAGGAAUACCGGUGGCGAAGGCGGCCCCCUGGACGAAGACUGACGCUCAGGUGCGAAAGCGUGGGGAGCAAACAGGAUUAGAUA